CCUACGGGGGGCAGCAGUGGGGAAUAUUGGACAAUGGGGGGAACCCUGAUCCAGCGACGCCGCGUGAGUGAAGAAGUAUUUCGGUAUGUAAAGCUCUAUCAGCAGGGAAGAAAGAAAUGACGGUACCUGACUAAGAAGCCCCGGCUAACUACGUGCCAGCAGCCGCGGUAAUACGUAGGGGGCAAGCGUUAUCCGGAUUUACUGGGUGUAAAGGGAGCGUAGACAGCGAUGCAAGUCUGAUGUGAAAGCCCGCGGCCCAACCGCGGGACUGCAUUGGGAACUACCGGGCUGGAGUGCCGGAGAGG
rnacentral:rRNA from 1 species